rnacentral:lncRNA from 1 species
CUUCCCCUCGUCAUAUCAAAUGCAUAAACGAUAUCAUACACAUAAAAAAAAGGACUUACUGCUAUUGCUAAUCAAAAGGAGCUUGAUGAGCUAAUCUGUAGUCGUGAUGGGCUAGAGCAGGUGGAGCGGCCAUUUGAUUUUCUCAAAAAAUAAUGAAGGGGAACUACUCCAACCCUAGAUAUAAGAAAAUCACCUUAGCAACUGCGAGAAUGUGAGGAAAACUGAUCAAAUUAGAAUAAAAUUAACUGAAAUUCAUAUGUAUGAGUAUAUGUACAAGGAUUUAUGCAUACAUACACUCUCAUAUCAGAUCGGAGAACAGUAAAUGAAGAAAGAGAAAAAUGAAUAUAUGUUUGAGAUCUACUAAAUAAAUGGAUGAUAUAACGAGAGAGUAGAAAGAGAUAGUUGUGUUACCUGGAAUUGGUUGCCGGCGAUGAGAUAGAAAUCAAUUGCAGUGGCGGUAAUGGUUUCAGCAGCGGUUAGAUAGGUUGAGUCUUUGUGAUGUAUUCCCAAAUUUUUCAAAUUUCAUUUUGUUAUUUUGAGAAAUUGGAGGGAAUAUUAGGUGAGGGU